GCAGUUAGUAAAGAUGGACAGUAAGUGUUCUAUAGAAGCAGUUAGUAAAGAUGGACAGUAAGUGUUCUAUAGAAGCAGUUAGUAAAGAUGGACAGUAAGUGUUCUAUAGAAGCAGUUAGUAAAGAUGGACAGUAAGCGUUCUAUAGAAGCAGUUAGUAAAGAUGGACAGUAAGUGUUCUAUAGAAGCAGUUAGUAAAGAUGGGCAGUAAGCGUUCUAUAGAAGCAGUUAGUAAAGAUGG